rnacentral:lncRNA from 1 species
AUGCUCAGGGCCUCUUGGAAGCCUCAAGACAGGGACCAUUCUUGCUUCCACUCUCUUACACACACAUUUCAGAAGCCCGUCACACUUGUGGCUCUUGCAACCAGCACGGCCUGGGGCAGCUGGGAAUUCAGCCCCUGCAGCAUCCUUGAGGUAGCCUGUUCUCUGCCAGGGCGCGAAGCCCCCAGACCGGAGAAAGGUGCCCCCACGGAACAAGCUGAAGCUCCCUGCAGAGGAGGCCAGGUGUGUGCACCACGCAAGCCUGAGCCCAUAGGCUCCUGCCCAGGGGACGAGUGGAUGAUUCGGAAGGUGAAGGUAGAGGAGGAGGAGGAUCGGGAGGCCCACGAGGAGGCGGAAUGGCCCGAGCAUCUGGCAUUACGCCCCAGCCCGUUUCCCCCGUCUGACCUGGGGUCUCUGCCCGCCGCAUAUAAGCUGGAGCCAGGGGCCCCAGAAACACUGGGUGGGCUCGCGCUGACCGGCUGGGUCCCGACCGCCUCGGAGAAGCCCUAUGGUUGCGGAGAGUGCGAGCGCCGGUUCCGGGACCAGCUGACCCUGCGGCUACACCAGCGGCUGCACCGCGGCGAGGGCCCGUGCGCCUGCCCCGACUGCGGCCGCAGCUUCACGCAGCAAGCGCACCUGCUGCUGCACCAACGCAGCCACCGCGGCGAGCGGCCCUUCCCCUGCUCCGAGUGCGACAAGCGCUUCAGCAAGAAGGCACACCUGACCCGCCACCUGCGCACGCACACGGGCGAGCGGCCCUACCCGUGUGCCGAAUGCGGCAAGCGCUUCAGCCAGAAGAUCCACCUGGGCUCGCACCAGAAGACGCACACCGGCGAGCGGCCCUUCCCCUGCCCCGAGUGCGAGAAGCGCUUUCGCAAAAAGACGCACCUGAUCCGCCACCAGCGCAUCCACACGGGCGAGAGGCCCUACCAGUGCGCGCAGUGCGCCCGAAGUUUCACGCACAAGCAGCACUUGGUGCGGCACCAGAGGGUGCACGCGGCCGCCGGCCGCACCCCGCCCUCUCCCGACGCGCCGGCCUCGCCCACGUCCCCUACCCCGUCCCCCACCGCUUCCUCUCCCGGACCCAAGCCUUUCUCCUGCUCCCACUGCGGCCUGAGCUUCGGCUGGAAGAAGAACCUCGCCACGCACCAGCGCCUGCACAGCGGCGAGGAGCGCCCUUUCGGGUGCGACGAGUGCGCGCUGGGCGCCCCUGUGGACCCCGCGGCCCCAGGGCCCUUGGCCUGCGCGCCCCGAGGCACUCCGGCGCUCCCGGGCAUUCCGGCCGGCGAGCGGUCCUUCCUCUGCCCCGAGUGCGGGCGCAGCUUCGCCCACGGGCAGCACCUGGCGCGACAUCGGCGGGUGCACACAGGCGAGCGGCCCUUCGCCUGCGCGCAGUGUGGUCGCUGCUUCGGCUCGCGGCCCAACCUGGUGGCCCACUCCAGAGCCCACAGCGGCGCCAGGCCUUUCGCCUGCGCGCAGUGCGGCCGCCGCUUCAGCCGCAAGUCGCACCUGGGUCGCCACCAGGCGGUGCACACGGGCAGUCGGCCCCACGCCUGCGCCGUGUGCGCCCGCAGCUUCAGUUCCAAGACCAACCUGGUCCGCCACCAGGCGGUGCACACCGGCUCCCGCCCCUUCCCCUGCCCGCAGUGCGGCAAGAGCUUCAGCCGAAAGACCCACCUGGUGCGACACCAGCGCAUCCAUGCAGGAGCCGCCCACCCGGCCUCCGGAUCUGACCUCUCGAGCCCAGCCUGGCCCACGCCCACCGACGUGACCGCACCCGCGCUCUUCUUCUGA